CGGUCUCCUGGUUCAUUCUCUUUGCCAACAUAGCGAUCACCCUCAUGGAGUGGAAGUUCCUCAUCACUCAGUACAUCCACCUGUCCAAGCAGCCGAAGAUAGACGUAGAUGAAGUCAAAGCCUAGAGAAAGCGAUGAGACGCUGCUCUGACAGAGGAUAAAAUGCAUUUUAGGAUCACUGUCACUUAUGUAUUAUUGAAGCAAAGCAAUAAUGAGCUGCCUGCACAUGACACACACUCACCUGGAAGUUCUUUCAUUCUCGAUAAGGAGCCGUUCCUUGAUCACAAGACUGGGUCCUCGGCCCCAAGCCUGCGCCGCGCGAUCCGGAGCGAGGGCGCCACCUGGUGGCAGAGCGGCGAAUGAGCGCCGGCCCACGGCCGAUGGAGGGCGACGGGCUGAGGAUGGAGAAGGAACCCAGCGGGCUGCUGCCCGGGUACCACCCGGGAGGCGGAGGAUGCUGCUGCCCCGCCCCUCCCCCGCCGCCCGUCAGAGAAGAAAGAACAUCCACACCCAGUGUGGCCCUCGCCCGCCCCGCCGUCCCGUACGCCACUUCCCUCUGAGUUCCACCCGCGUCCCCUUUCACACAUUGUGUCCCCUGAUGUCGGUGCAGUGAUCGUUGCUGUCUCUUUGCUGUAGUGAUGCUUGAGCUAAGCUCAUUUUUGCUGUAAAUAAAAGACGUUGCUCAGCACUUUACCCUUCA
rnacentral:lncRNA from 1 species